rnacentral:other from 1 species
ACAUCCCUGCGGUGCGCGUUAAAAAUCCAUGUUUUGAGCCAACACUUUUACCUUGGGAGCCUAGAGCGCCUGCCAUUGAUGAUAAGCCUCCUUGAGUGGACAUCAGAAGUGGUCGGGAGGGCACCCACCUGCACAUGCAGGUUCAAAACUUGGAAAUACGACGGCAUUGUGGGGCAAUU